rnacentral:rRNA from 1 species
AUUGAACGCUGGCGGCAUGCCUUACACAUGCAAGUCGAACGGCAGCACGGGAGCAAUCCUGGUGGCGAGUGGCGAACGGGUGAGUAAUAUAUCGGAACGUGCCCAGUCGUGGGGGAUAACGUAGCGAAAGCUACGCUAAUACCGCAUACGAUCUAUGGAUGAAAGCGGGGGAUCGCAAGACCUCGCGCGAUUGGAGCGGCCGAUAUCAGAUUAGGUAGUUGGUGAGGUAAAGGCUCACCAAGCCGACGAUCUGUAGCUGGUCUGAGAGGACGACCAGCCACACUGGGACUGAGACACGGCCCAGACUCCUACGGGAGGCAGCAGUGGGAAUUUUGGACAAUGGGCGCAAGCCUGAUCCAGCAAUGCCGCGUGCAGGAUGAAGGCCUUCGGGUUGUAAACUGCUUUGUACGGAACGAAACGGUGAGCUCUAAUACAGUUUUGCUAAUGACGGUACCGUAAGAAUAAGCACCGGCUAACUACGUG